GAUGAACGCUAGCGGCAGGCUUAAUACAUGCAAGUCGAGGGGCAGCGCAGUGUAGCAAUACAUGGGCGGCGACCGGCAAACGGGUGCGGAACACGUACACAACCUUCCUACAAGUGGGGAAUAGCCCAGAGAAAUUUGGAUUAAUACCCCGUAACAUAGCGAUGUGGCAUCACAUUGCUAUUAUAGCUUCGGCGCUUGUUGAUGGGUGUGCGGCUGAUUAGAUAGUUGGCGGGGUAACGGCCCACCAAGUCUACGAUCAGUAGCUGAUGUGAGAGCAUGAUCAGCCACACGGGCACUGAGACACGGGCCCGACUCCUACGGGAGGCAGCAGUAAGGAAUAUUGGACAAUGGACGCAAGUCUGAUCCAGCCAUGCCGCGUGAAGGAUUAAGGUCCUCUGGAUUGUAAACUUCUUUUAUAAGGGACGAAAAAAGGUCUUUCUAGAUCGUCUGACGGUACCUUAUGAAUAAGCACCGGCUAACUCCGUGCCAGCCGCCGCGGUAAGAC
rnacentral:rRNA from 1 species